rnacentral:misc_RNA from 1 species
AACGUAGGGGGCCAGCGUUGCUCGGAAUUACUGGGCGUAAAGGGUCUGUAGGCGGUGCGGCAAGUCGGAAGUGAAAUCGCAGGGCUUAACUCUGCGGCUGCUCCCGAAACUGCCGUGCUCGAGUGCGAGAUAGGCGAGUGGAAUUGCAGGUGUAGCGGUGAAAUGCGUAGAUAUCUGCAGGAACAUCCGAGGCGAAAGCGGCUCGCUGGAUCGCAACUGACGCUGAGAGACGAAAGCUAGGGGAGCAAACAGG